rnacentral:rRNA from 1 species
GACGAACGCUGGCGGCGUGCUUAACACAUGCAAGUCGAACGGUAAGGCCCCUUCGGGGGUACACGAGUGGCGAACGGGUGAGUAACACGUGGGUAAUCUGCCCUGCACUUCGGGAUAAGCCUGGGAAACUGGGUCUAAUACCGGAUAUGAGCUCCUGCCGCAUGGUGGGGGUUGGAAAGUUUUUCGGUGCAGGAUGAGUCCGCGGCCUAUCAGCUUGUUGGUGGGGUAAUGGCCUACCAAGGCGACGACGGGUAGCCGGCCUGAGAGGGUGAUCGGCCACACUGGGACUGAGACACGGCCCAGACUCCUACGGGAGGCAGCAGUGGGGAAUAUUGCACAAUGGGCGCAAGCCUGAACCAGCCAUCCCGCGUGAAGGAAGAAUGCGCUACGCGUUGUAAACUUCUUUUCCAGGGGGAGAAUAAUCCUGUCGUGACAGGACUUGACGGUACUCUGGGAAUAAGCAUCGGCUAACUCCGUG